rnacentral:lncRNA from 1 species
UGCUCCUAAAUCCCUUCAGCACCCAUCGAGCAGCUCCACACGAGUUUGCUAGGGAGCAGCAACAGCUGGGACACUGAGUUCUGACUUGUUUCAUGCAAACAAGCAACCAAGGAGAAGCCAGAAAUGCCAUCAUGUGCCUGACCCUUAGACAUAGGGGGGAAACCACACGGGGGAGAGACACCACAGCUGCCUACAGGAUGGCAAAAGCUGGUAGACAGCGGAGAAUUCAGCCCCUGGCUGUGAGCUGAUAUAAAAGCAGGCGUCAGCGGGUCGGCUCAGUCUCAAAGCGUGCUGGUCAUAUGGUGUUGUCUUGCUCUGCUCCUCUCCCCAGCACCUCCAGCUGCUCGAUGUGUCUGGCCUGUCCCGGUGGGCACGAGGCUCUGCGCGAGGCAGCCGAGGCGUGCGCGCCGUGCCGGGCAGGUAUGUUCAAAGGUCCCGGUGACACCGCGUGCAAGCCCUGCGAGCCAGGAGAAUACCAAUUGCAGCAGGGCCAGGAGAGCUGUGACCUGUGCCCAGAGAACCACUACUGCCCGAGCCCGGACGUGAAACCAACCAAGUGCCCCCCUGAUGCCUUCUGCCCCGCGGGCAGCACGGAGCCGCAGUACUGCAUGGAGGCCUUCCUCUACAAGGUGGGCAGCUCCUGCCAGCUGGCGCCGCUGGCCAUCGUCCUUCUGGCCCUUCUCUCAGCAGGUGAGCAUCAUCUUCUCCAGCCUCGGGUUGUGCCAGCAGUAGGCUCUGGGUGGUGUAUGUUACAGUUCCUGAAAUCUGGGUUUCUACUAAAGGUCCUUCUGGUUGCUCGCCCCUUUAAAAGGAAGCAGCGACCUGGCGUGCCUUCUGUUGCUAUCAAAAGUGGCCGCGGAGCUCAAAGCCAUCCCACUGCCCCAUAUUCCUUAAUUUCCCUGUAUCUUUACAGCACAGUGACCUAUGGUGUCACAAAUAUGAAGUCUAUGCUGGAACCAGACUGCAGUCACAUGGUGAACAGGCUGAGUGUGGUUUAAAUGCAUGAACCACCCUUUAACAUGUGCUUCUCACCCCACACAACUUCUCACUUUCAAGUGCUGCUCUCUAUGCAAACACGAGUCCUUUCUCCCUUAGUAAGGAGGGGUAGUGCUGAAUAUUACAGCUCGUG